rnacentral:lncRNA from 1 species
CAAAAAAUCAAAAAAAAAAAAAAAAACUUCAAAUACUGCUCCUAUGGUUUCACACUUUCUCACUUUAGUACUUUAUAAUUUAAAGUAUAUCAAUUUAGUGCCAUGUGGUUUUAUUUUUAUUUUUUUAUUAUCAAUUCCACUAAUUUUUUUCGCUAAAUUAGCGACAAAGUUAAAACUAAAGGGUACUAAAGUGAGUAUUCAAUAAAUCUAAAUAGAUAUCUGAAGUUUUUUAUAUAUAAUUUAACGAAAUAUUAACGAAAAAGCUAACGAAAAGAUAAAAAUAAAAUCACAGAAUACUAAUUUGAUACAUUUAAAAUUAUAUAAUGUUAAAAUAAAAAAUGUGAAAUCAUAAAAAUAGUAUUUGAAAUUUACCCAUAAAAAA